CGCGGACUUUGGCGAAAAAAAACUACAAGUAUAUAAUAUUAUGUUAUGAUGUAUAUACACCUAUUAGCUGUUGCUAUUAUUAUUAUACUCCGGCCGGUUUACCGGUUUCGGAAAAUUAAUAAUUCGCACACGGAACGCGAACGCAUCACGCGAACCGCGUUAUUGGUCACGGGCGCGGAAAAAAUAUUUGAAAAAAAAAAAAAAAAAAAUCACGAAAAUACAUUAUUAAUUAACCUCGAAACUGCAGCACGUGACGUGAGUCAACCGAUGCAAUUUUAAAUUCCUUUUUUCUUCGCUUACCUGUACUUAUAAUAUCGUUGGCAAUAUUAUAUUACGUACCUAUACACACUACCUACACUUCUUUGUACAUGUAUGCGUUGUCUCGAAUUUUCGCACAGCGAUUUUCAAUUUUACGCAUGAAUUUUCCGCGAUUAAUCCGCAAAAAAAAGUUUACCCCAAACGAUAUUUUCGUUUCCUGACUUAGCCUUGAAGAGAGAGGAGGAUAUGGGAUUUAAAUUUUUUUGGAGACGCUCGAUUUUUUCGUAUAAGGUAAUUUCAUAAAACACACAUUCUAUUUUACUUUACGUUUUAUCAAUUCGAAGAAUAUAAAUUCAAGUUUUUUUUUUACGCACGAUAAUUAGGUAUACUUUUUUUUAUCUCAACUGUUUUGUGACGAAACAGCAAAUAGCUAAUCCAUUAUUAGCUCUAUGAUACGCACACAAUGUUCACCCAUGGGCCAUUAAAAUGUCAACGAUGAAUUCCGAAGAGAGUAGAAAUAAUACAUAUUUGACUGCGAACGUUUAAAAACAAAAAAAAUUGAAAACAAAUUCCAUGCGUUUCUAGAUCGUUAUAACGUCGGUAUUUUCGAUGCUAUUAAUAAUUAUUGGAGCGUUAUGACAAUAAUAUGAUAUUAAUCGAUCUCCCUGCCCGAUGUCGAUAUGCUUGAUAUCGAUUAUGUUUCUAUCGUUGACCAUGACUUAUUAUUCGAUAUAUCAACAAUUUCGCCGAGUAAAUAUUAUAUUUGCUAUUCACAUUAAAGCUGCUUUCUAAACGGCAAUCGCGGAUACCUAAACAAAGUCAAAAUAAAACAAUUUAAAAAGGGCCGCGAUCUAUUCUCCAUAUCCUCCCUCCCACA